GUGCUCACUUUGGCAGCACACAUACUAAAAUUGGAACAAUACAGAGAAAAUUAGCAUGGGCUCUGCACAAGGAUGACACACAGAUUCUUGGAGCAUUCCAUAUUUUU